rnacentral:misc_RNA from 1 species
GAUGAAGAACGCAGCGAAACGCGAUAAGUAAUGUGAAUUACAGAAUUCAGUGAAUCAUCGAAUCUUUGAACGCACAUUGCGCCCCUUGGUAUUCCGAGGGGCAUGCCUGUUCGAGCGUCAUUAUAACCCCUCAAGCUCAGCUUGGUGUUGGGGCCUGCUGCACUGGCAGCCCUUAAAAUCAGUGGCGGCGCCAUCUGGCUCUAAGCGUAGUAAUUCUUCUCGCUAUGGAGUCCUGGUGGAUGCUUGCCAUCAACCCCCAAUUUUUCUAUGGUUGACCUCGGAUCAGGUAGGGAUACCCGCUGAACUUAAGCAUAUCAAUAAGCGGAGGA